UCGUAACAAGGUCUCCGUUGGUGAACCAGCGGAGGGAUCAUUACUGAGUUUACGCUCUACAACCCUUUGUGAACAUACCUAUAACUGUUGCUUCGGCGGGUAGGGUCUCCGNGACCCUCCCGGCCUCCCGCCCCCGGGCGGGUCGGCGCCCGCCGGAGGAUAACCAAACUCUGAUUUAACGACGUUUCUUCUGAGUGGUACAAGCAAAUAAUCAAAACUUUUAACAACGGAUCUCUUGGUUCUGGCAUCGAUGAAGAACGCAGCGAAAUGCGAUAAGUAAUGUGAAUUGCAGAAUUCAGUGAAUCAUCGAAUCUUUGAACGCACAUUGCGCCCGCCAGCAUUCUGGCGGGCAUGCCUGUUCGAGCGUCAUUUCAACCCUCAAGCUCUGCUUGGUGUUGGGGCCCUACAGCCGAUGUAGGCCCUCAAAGGUAGUGGCGGACCCUCCCGGAGCCUCCUUUGCGUAGUAACUUUACGUCUCGCACUGGGAUCCGGAGGGACUCUUGCCGUAAAACCCCCAAUUUUCCAAAGGUUGACCUCGGAUCAUGGAGGAAUACCCGCUGAA
rnacentral:rRNA from 1 species